GCUAUGCCUCAAUUGAUAAAGUGAACUAAUUGCCUACUUCAAAAGCAGUUUUGCAUGAAAGUUUCAACAUCUAAUUGGAAUUUCUCUGGAAAGUUUACAAUGUCCGAUAUUUCUACACAUCUGCCACAAAUUUAUGGAAAUCAAUAUUUAUAGAAACUGAACAUACCUUGGUUAAACGUAUAUGAAAUAGACAACCAUCAUCGAAGAACAUCAACCAGCUGUCGGCAACAUGCAGGUUGACUGAGGAAUUUUCCGGUGUGUCUUUUUAUGGACUGUACUCCGUCUUAGCACUAUCCUCAAGUUUUACCCGAGAGGCCAUGCUUCAGGUUGGACCGUCUUCCAUAUAUCUACUGACUUCAUAUAAAUGAAAGUCUCGCUGAUCUGCACAACCAGCUCAUGUUCAACGUUACUGAACUACAAAGUAAUCCGACAAUCAGACUGGACCCGGUCAUAUCAGAUACCAGAGGAAGACGAAAAUAUAAUUGAUUCUGUACUGAUGCAUAACUUCGCUCGGAACGCGGCAAGAAUUAACAAUGGAAGAAAAUACUACAGACUUGUUUAUUAACGAUAAAGUUAUUUUUGUUUUUAUGAAAUAGCGAUUGAAUAAAAAUAUUAGGUAUAUGAGUUUUAUUUAGAGAUGAAAUAAGUCAGAAAUACAGCACACCCACUCGUAUUCACAACAACAAAUGUAGCCUGGUAAGGCUAAUAAAAUAAGGUUAUUAAAAUUCUGGUUGCUCGGCACCAAAAGUAACCUUGCAACGGCUACUUCCUAUUAUUUAUUUGUAAACCUUGGUAUCCAAGAUGUGUUCUACAGAGCACAUCUUAGAUCCCUUGGUCACGGAACCAAAUGUAACUAAAACUCCGC